GAAAUGCGAUACGUAGUGUGAAUUGCAGAAUUCAGUGAAUCAUCGAAUCUUUGAACGCACAUUGCGCCCUUUGGUAUUCCAAAGGACAUGCCUGUUCGAGCGUCAUUUGUACCCUCAAGCUUUGCUUGGUGUUGGGCGUCUUUUUGUCUCUCCCCUUGUUGGGGGAGACUCGCCUUAAAACGAUUGGCAGCCGACCUACUGGUUUUCGGAGCGCAGCACAAAUUUGCGCCUUCCAAUCCACGGGGCGGCAUCCAGCAAGCCUUUGUUUUCUAUAACAAAUCCACAUUUUGACCUCGGAUCAGGUAGGGAUACCCGCUGAACUUAAGC
rnacentral:misc_RNA from 1 species